rnacentral:rRNA from 1 species
GAUGAACGCUGGCGGCGUGCCUAAUACAUGCAAGUCGAGCGAACGGGCGAGAAGCUUGCAUCUCUGAUGUUAGCGGCGGACGGGUGUGUAACACGUGGAUAACCUACCUAUAAGACUGGGAUAACUUCGGGAAACCGGAGCUGAUACCGGAGGAUAUUUUGAACCGCAUGGUUCAAAAGUGAAAGACGGUCUUGCUGUCCCUUAUAGAUGGAUCCGCGCUGCAUUAGCUAGUUGGUAAGGUAACGGCUUACCAAGGCAACGAUGCAUAGCCGACCUGAGAGGGUGAUAGGCCACACUGGAACUGAGACACGGUCCAGACUCCUACGGGAGGCAGCAGUAGGGAAUCUUCCGCAAUGGGCGAAAGCCUGACGGAGCAACGCCGCGUGAGUGAUGAAGGUCUUCGGAUCGUAAAACUCUGUUAUUAGGGAAGAACAUAUGUGUAAGUAACUGUGCACAUCUUGACGGUACCUAAUCAGAAAGCCACGGCUAACUACGUG